rnacentral:rRNA from 1 species
GUUUGGUUAAGUUAGAAAGGGCGCACGGUGGAUGCCUUGACACUAGGAGUCGAUGAAGGACGGGACUAACGCCGAUAUGCUUCGGGAAGCUGUAAGUAAGCUUUGAUCCGAAGAUUUCCGAAUGGGGAAACCCACCAUACGUAAUGGUAUGGUAUCCUUAUCUGAAUACAUAGGGUAAGGAAGACAGACCCAGGGAACUGAAACAUCUAAGUACCUGGAGGAAGAGAAAGCAAAUGCGAUUUCCUGAGUAGCGGCGAGCGAAACGGAACAUAGCCCAAACCAAGAGGCUUGCCUCUUGGGGUUGUAGGACAUUCUAUACGGAGUUACAAAGGAACGAGGUAGACGAAGCGACCUGGAAAGGUCC